AACGAACGCUGGCGGCAUGCCUAACACAUGCAAGUCGAACGAGAUCUUCGGGUCUAGUGGCGCACGGGUGCGUAACGCGUGGGAAUCUGCCCUUGGGUUCGGAAUAACAGUUCGAAACGACUGCUAAUACCGGAUGAUGACGAAGGUCCAAAGAUUUAUCGCCAGAGGAUGAGCCCGCGUAGGAUUAGCUAGUUGGUGUGGUAAAGGCGCACCAAGGCGACGAUCCUUAGCUGGUCUGAGAGGAUGAUCAGCCACACUGGGACUGAGACACGGCCCAGACUCCUACGGGAGGCAGCAGUGGGGAAUAUUGGACAAUGGGCGAAAGCCUGAUCCAGCAAUGCCGCGUGAGUGAUGAAGGCCUUAGGGUUGUAAAGCUCUUUUACCCGGGAUGAUAAUGACAGUACCGGGAGAAUAAGCUCCGGCUAACUCCGUGCCAGCCGCCGCGUAA
rnacentral:rRNA from 1 species